AAUAGAUACCCGGGUAGUCCAUGCCGUAAACGUUGGGCACUAGGUGUGGGGCUCAUUCCACGAGUUCCGUGCCGCAGCAAACGCAUUAAGUGCCCCGCCUGGGGAGUACGGCCGCAAGGCUAAAAACUCAAAGGAAUUGACGGGGGCCCGCACAAGCGGCGGAGCAUGCGGAUUAAUUCGAUGCAACGCGAAGAACCUUACCAAGGCUUGACAUGCACGGGAAGCCACCAGAGAUGGUGGUCUCUUUGGACACUCGUGCACAGGUGGUGCAUGGUUGUCGUCAGCUCGUGUCGUGAGAUGUUGGGUUAAGUCCCGCAACGAGCGCAACCCUGUCCCAUGUUGCCAGCGGGUUAUGCCGGGGACUCAUGGGAGACUGCCGGGGUCAACUCGGAGGAAGGUGGGGAUGACGUCAAAUCAUCAUGCCCCUUAUGUCUUGGGCUUCACGCAUGCUACAAUGGCCGGUACAAAGGGCUGCGAUACCGUAAGGUGGAGCGAAUCCCAAAAGCCGGUCUCAGUUCGGAUUGGGU
rnacentral:rRNA from 1 species